CCCUUCCCUUCCCUUCCCUUCCCGCCCGGCUUUCCCCGCUGUCGCUGCAGGGUCUGAAAGGUCUGGAGAUGAAGUUCCAGAGGCUGAAAAAUCAGCCUUUCUACUGGCUUUCACCUUUGAUUCACCUCUAGCUGCUAUGCUAGAGUUGUCCAGCAAGCUGGGGCUGUCCUCAGCUACAAACACGCAGUUGCGUUCAGCAAUAACUGGUAAAAGAGGCUUUGGGCGUUCAUGUUCUCUGUCGGUGUAUAUUCCACCAGAGAUGAAUUUCACUUCUAUAAACCUUUAAUGCAAAGUAGAAUUUUAUUCAGGCUUUCUCCUAGUUCUGUGUCCUAGCCUUCAAAGUAAAAUCAGUUUAAUUCAAUAGAAUACAAAGAUGCCUAACAGUUCUCAGGUGUCAUGUAGCACUUUGUACAAUCAGACUUUGUACUUGUGGAAUUGCUCCUCCCCCCCCAAAGUUGCUCAAGAUUGUAGCUCACAUUUAGGAAUCCACAAAAGCUACAAUUUUGGGAUGUGGGAUGGGGAGCACAAUAUGUUAUUCUUUAACUUAUGCAUAUUAUCUAAAGCAUGCCAAGAAACUGAAGGGAUAGACACUUUAGAAAUGUAUGUUAUUACAUACAUCUAUUGAUCAGACUAUUUUUAAAAUAAAGUGCUUUUAAAAAAUGGAAAAUAGUGGCUUCUAUUCAGAUUCUCAAAGGAGAAGUAAAAAAAUUAUAUGAUUCUGUGAUUAACCUAUUCUGUAAUAAUAAUAUUAUUAUGGUUUUGCUAAUGUCAUUUUGCAUUUUUAGUUGCUGCAGAGCAGGAUCUUUCAGCUUGAAUCCUGAAUUUGGAAAUUUAUGCAUUGUUUGCAUUGCUGAAUAGUAACUGUUUUGAAAUAAUUAUGCUGCCUGCUUUCGUGCACGUGCCUCUGCAGAACACCACCACCGAUGUUCUCCCAGAAGAAGCAUUUAGAGUUCCAGACAAGCAUCUGGUGUUGUCCUCUCCUAAUAUGUGCAGAGCAGUUUUCUUUAAAAUGCAUUGUAGAGACGGCCUCACUUCUGCUUGAGAAACAGAAAAUUUCAGAACAUGCUGCAGAGUCAUCUCCUGCUAAUAGUUUGAGCCCAGAAAUGAUUGAAGGAGAAACAUGAUGGUAGUGUUCAAAUACUUUAUAAAAGGCUGUUGCAGUUCUCCAGCUGUGGAGAAAGUAUCACGUAAGAGGUAGCGUGGCUUAAACUGCUGUAAAGAAGAUUCAGGGUGAAAAGUUGAGAACUUUUUAGAGUAAUCAGGCAAAAGCUGUGGAAUAGUUAGCCUGGCUGGGCUAAUAGUUUAGGCACAGGCUGGGAGAUAGGAGAUUGCAGGAUACAGGCAUGUGUACCUUUGCACUUUUGCACACCCACCUCCCGCAUGGAAGAUGUAGGUCUGACGUAAGCCACCAAGAAGCAGUAAUGGGCCUAUUCAGAAGGGCAGGAGACAAAGCAGCAAAUGAUUCAAUGACGCUACUCAACGAGCACAAUCUGCCAGGGUUGCCGCAGGUGGGAAUAGAAAAAUUGUUUACAUCUGCAAUACCAAUAAAGCCUGUGAUUUUGAUGCCAACAGA